CAGGAUGAACGCUAGCGACAGGCCUAACACAUGCAAGUCGAGGGGCAGCACAAGGAGCAAUCUGAGGUGGCGACCGGCGCACGGGUGAGUAACACGUAUGCAACCUGCCUGUAAGCGGGGAAUAACCCGUUGAAAGACGGACUAAUACCGCAUAAUACUAAAUUACUGCAUGGUAAUUUAUUUAAACAUUUAUGGCUUACAGAUGGGCAUGCGCAUGAUUAGCUAGUUGGAGAGGUAACGGCUCCCCCAAGGCAACGAUCAUUAGGGGUUCUGAGAGGAAGGUCCCCCACACUGGUACUGAGACACGGACCAGACUCCUACGGGAGGCAGCAGUGAGGAAUAUUGGUCAAUGGACGAGAGUCUGAACCAGCCAAGUCGCGUGCAGGAAGAAUUGUCCUAUGGAUUGUAAACUGCUUUUGCAGGGGAAUAAAGUGCAUCACGUGUGAUGUUUUGUAUGUACUCUGCGAAUAAGGAUCGGCUAACUCCGUGCCAGCCGCCGC
rnacentral:rRNA from 1 species